rnacentral:hammerhead_ribozyme from 1 species
ACCCAUCUGAUGAGUCUCAAAUAGGACGAAAGGCGCGUCCUGGAU